rnacentral:rRNA from 1 species
ACGAACGCUGGCGGCGCGCCUAACACAUGCAAGUCGAACGGAGCUUAGAGAGCUUGCUUUUUAAGCUUAGUGGCGAACGGGUGAGUAACGCGUGAGUAACCUGCCCUAGAGUGGGGGACAACAGUUGGAAACGACUGCUAAUACCGCAUAAGCCCACGGUACCGCAUGGCACUGAGGGAAAAGGAUUUAUUCGCUUUAGGAUGGACUCGCGUCCAAUUAGCUAGUUGGUGAGGUAACGGCCCACCAAGGCGACGAUUGGUAGCCGGACUGAGAGGUUGAACGGCCACAUUGGGACUGAGACACGGCCCAGACUCCUACGGGAGGCAGCAGUGGGGGAUAUUGCACAAUGGGGGAAACCCUGAUGCAGCGACGCCGCGUGGAGGAAGAAGGUUUUCGGAUUGUAAACUCCUGUCGUUAGGGACGAUAAUGACGGUACCUAACAAGAAAGCACCGGCUAACUACGUGCCAGCAGCCGCGGUAAAACGUAGGGUGCAAGCGUUGUCCGGAAUUACUGGGUGUAAAGGGAGCGCAGGCGGGAAGACAAGUUGGAAGUGAAAACCAUGGGCUCAACCCAUGAAUUGCUUUCAAAACUGUUUUUCUUGAGUAGUGCAGAGGUAGAUGGAAUUCCCGGUGUAGCGGUGGAAUGCGUAGAUAUCGGGAGGAACACCAGUGGCGAAGGCGGUCUACUGGGCACCAACUGACGCUGAGGCUCGAAAGCAUGGGUAGCAAACAGGAUUAGAUACCCUGGUAGUCCAUGCCGUAAACGAUGAUUACUAGGUGUUGGGGGAUUGACCCCCUCAGUGCCGCAGUUAACACAAUAAGUAAUCCACCUGGGGAGUACGACCGCAAGGUUGAAACUCAAAGGAAUUGACGGGGGCCCGCACAAGCAGUGGAGUAUGUGGUUUAAUUCGAAGCAACGCGAAGAACCUUACCAGGUCUUGACAUCCGAUGCAUAACACAGAGAUGUGUGAAAUCCUUCGGGACAUCGAGACAGGUGGUGCAUGGUUGUCGUCAGCUCGUGUCGUGAGAUGUUGGGUUAAGUCCCGCAACGAGCGCAACCCUUAUUGCCAGUUACUACGUUAAGAGGACUCUGGCGAGACUGCCGUUGACAAAACGGAGGAAGGUGGGGAUGACGUCAAAUCAUCAUGCCCUUUAUGACCUGGGCUACACACGUACUACAAUGGCUAUAACAAAGAGAAGCGAGACAGUGAUGUGGAGCAAAACUCAAAAAAAUAGUCUCAGUUCGGAUUGAAGGCUGAAAUUCGCCUUCAUGAAGCUGGAAUUGCUAGUAAUGGCAGGUCAGCAUACUGCCGUGAAUACGUUCCCGGGCCUUGUACACACCGCCCGUCACACCAUGGGAGUCGGUAACACCCGAAGCCCGUAGCCUAACAGCAAUGAGGGCGCGGUCGAAGGUGGGAUUGAUGACUGGGGUG